UGCACAAUGAAGCGCAAGGGAACAAGU
rnacentral:piRNA from 1 species